AGGACGAACGCUGGCGGCGUGCUUAACACAUGCAAGUCGAGCGGAAAGGCCCUUCGGGGUACUCGAGCGGCGAACGGGUGAGUAACACGUGAGUAAUCUGCCCCUAGCUCUGGGAUAGCUCCGGGAAACCGGGAUUAAUACCGGAUACGACCACCUUAGACAUCUUUUGUGGUGGAAAGAAUUUCGGCUAGGGAUGAGCUCGCGGCCCAUCAGCUUGUUGGUGGGUAACGCCUACCAAGGCGACGACGGGUA
rnacentral:rRNA from 1 species